rnacentral:lncRNA from 1 species
GUGACAGGAGAGAAGCGAGAAAUGUUCUUGUUUUUCAAGACUCUGUUUCAGCUGUCAGCCGCAUGGGAGUGCGAAGUGAGGUCAUAUGGUGUGAUUUCACUCGACACACUCUUGUGACAUGGGCACACACACACACAAAACACUAGACUGAAUAUUACGCUUUAGAUUCUGCAUAACAAUGCUCUGCAUCCUACAGGAGUAUCAUGGUGAUGUGUUUGGCACAAGAAAAAAAAAAAUCAACCCUUGUAACAAAGAAGUCCUUAACUUUAUGGAAUAUGACAACAAAUCAUAAUUGUGCCUACUGAUAAUAUAAUAUUAAAGGGUUAGUUCACCUCCAAAAUUAUGCUGCGUUUUACUCACCCCCAAAGCAUCCUAGGUAUAUAAUACUUUUUUUUUUCAGAUCAAUCCAGUCAGAUCUUUCUGGAUCUUUAAAGCUCUAUCGUUGCAUUUAGCGGAUGCUGCAUUGCUUCGUCCAAAAGACGUUGUCACAGUGUCUGGGUUGUGUCUUGUCUUGGAGCGUCUGGGAGCCGCUCCGUAGAGGGGGGGUACUGUCACAGUGUCUGGGUUGUGUUCCCUGGGGUUCCACUAGAUGUCCUCCUUUCUCACGGUGUCUGUCACCAGAUCACUUCCUGUUCCCUUAUAUGGUCACCUUCCUCCUUGUUAAGUUAAUUGAUUGUUUCCCCACCUGUCUCCUGUCUCCUCAUUAUCCUUCUGUGUAUAAAUACCCAGUCUGUCUUAGUCUGUGUUACGGAGUCCUUGUUUAAUGUCAGGUUAUUUCAUGUCCGUCAUCCUUGUCUUGCCUUGCCUUGUCUUGCCUUGUCUUCAUGUCUUGUUUUUAUGUGGAUGGAUGUUUUGGUUUCGACCCUGCCUGGACUGUUUACCCCUCUGGAUUAUCCCUUGAAUAAAUAUUACUUACCUGCAAUUGGUUCUCUCGCCGUCUUUCAAGCGUCUCGUAACGUGACAGACGUGAAAUGAAAAGCAAUCCUUCCAUAAAAAAAAGUGUCUCACACAGCACCGAGGGGUGAACAUAUGAACAAAAAUAACCAUAUUCAAAAUGUAAUAAUCACUUUAAUAUAGCUUGCACUCACAGUUGUAAAUGAAGCAGUUCCAGGGGAAUUACGUCAGCUUUGAGGCGCCCGGAGCCGUGUCAGACAAUUUUUUGACAGAGCUUGAAAGGUCAAAGACAAUUUUUAAUAUGACUCUGACUUGUAUUCGUCUGAAAAGAAGAAAGUCAUAUAUCCCUAGGAUGCUUUGGGGAUGAGUAAAACGCAGACAAAUUUUCAUUUUUGGGUGAACUAACCCUUUAAUGAAGUAAAAGGUCACUUAAGUGUACUUAAUGAGAAACACUUUCAUGACUAUGUUUCUUAACACAUUUAAGUAUGGUUUUAAAAAGUGCACUUUGUAAUAAUAUCAAAUUAUAGUUUUACUUUAAAGUACAUUGUUGUUUUUUUAUCCUUAGUCAUGCUUUAAAAAGUACACUCAUUUUGAUGCGUUGACUUAGUAAAGCACAUGUAAAGUAUUAACCUGAUCUCAUGAAACCUGAUCACAUGAAUGUGUGUUCCAAUGCCACGAUUUUCUAUUUAUAUGCAGAAAUGGUCUUUGCAUUGAUCUUUUCAUGAGACUGGGCUCCAAGUACUUUAUUUUAAAUUACCUGUUAUUCGAUAUUACAUUAUAUAUUGAUAGUAUAUUAACUUCAUACUUACAAAUAUAUAAUUACAAAUAUAUUUACUUGACAUACAAGUUUCAAUAGAAAUUACAUUUAAGUAUAUUUUAAUUUAUAAUAAAUGCUUGUCCACAUAUUUGGC